rnacentral:rRNA from 1 species
UGGGGAAUAUUGGACAAUGGGCGCAAGCCUGAUCCAGCCAUACCGCGUGGGUGAAGAAGGCCUUCGGGUUGUAAAGCCCUUUUGUUGGGAAAGAAAAGCAUUCGGUUAAUACCCGAUUGUUCUGACGGUACCCAAAGAAUAAGCACCGGCUAACUUCGUGCCAGCAGCCGCGGUAAUACGAAGGGUGCAAGCGUUACUCGGAAUUACUGGGCGUAAAGCGUGCGUAGGUGGUUGUUUAAGUCUGUCGUGAAAGCCCUGGGCUCAACCUGGGAAUUGCGAUGGAAACUGGGCGACUAGAGUGUGGCAGAGGGUAGUGGAAUUCCUGGUGUAGCAGUGAAAUGCGUAGAGAUCAGGAGGAACAUCCGUGGCGAAGGCGACUGCCUGGGCCAACACUGACACUGAGGCACGAAAGCGUGGGGAGCAAACAGGAUUAGAUACCCUGGUAGUCCACGCCCUAAACGAUGCGAACUGGAUGUUGGGUGCAAUUUGGCACGCAGUAUCGAAGCUAACGCGUUAAGUUCGCCGCCUGGGGAGUACGGUCGCAAGACUGAAACUCAAAUGAAUUGACGGGGUCAUAGC